rnacentral:rRNA from 1 species
AUUGAACGCUGGCGGCAGGCCUAACACAUGCAAGUCGAACGAGUGGCGGACGGGUGAGUAAUGUCUGGGAAACUGCCUGAUGGAGGGGGAUAACUACUGGAAACGGUAGCUAAUACCGCAUACCAUCGGAUGUGCCCAGAUGGGAUUAGCUAGUAGGUGGGGUAAAGGCUCACCUAGGCGACGAUCCCUAGCUGGUCUGAGAGGAUGACCAGCCACACUGGAACUGAGACACGGUCCAGACUCCUACGGGAGGCAGCAGUGGGGAAUAUGGCACAAUGGGCGCAAGCCUGAUGCAGCCAUGCCGCGUGUGUGAAGAAGGCCUUCGGGUUGUAAAGCACUUUCAGCGAGGAGGCGUUACUCGCAGAAGAAGCACCGGCUAACUCCGUGCCAGCAGCCGCGGUAAUAC